GGGUUGUGAGGUUAAGCGACUAAGCGUACACGGUGGAUGCCCUGGCAGUCAGAGGCGAUGAAGGACGUGCUAAUCUGCGAUAAGCGUCGGUGAGGUGAUAUGAACCGUUAUAACCGGCGAUUUCCGAAUGGGGAAACCCAGUGUGUUUCGACACACUAUCAUUAACUGAAUCCAUAGGUUAAUGAGGCGAACCGGGGGAACUGAAACAUCUAAGUACCCCGAGGAAAAGAAAUCAACCGAGAUUCCCCCAGUAGCGGCGAGCGAACGGGGAGCAGCCCAGAGCCUGAAUCAGUGUGUGUGUUAGUGGAAGCGUCUGGAAAGGCGUGCGAUACAGGGUGACAGCCCCGUACACAAAAAUGCACAUACUGUGAGCUCGAUGAGUAGGGCGGGACACGUGGUAUCCUGUCUGAAUAUGGGGGGACCAUCCUCCAAGGCUAAAUACUCCUGACUGACCGAUAGUGAACCAGUACCGUGAGGGAAAGGCGAAAAGAACCCCGGCGAGGGGAGUGAAAAAGAACCUGAAACCGUGUACGUACAAGCAGUGGGAGCCUCUUAAUGGGGUGACUGCGUACCUUUUGUAUAAUGGGUCAGCGACUUAUAUUCUGUAGCAAGGUUAACCGAAUAGGGGAGCCGAAGGGAAACCGAGUCUUAACUGGGCGUUAAGUUGCAGGGUAUAGACCCGAAACCCGGUGAUCUAGCCAUGGGCAGGUUGAAGGUUGGGUAACACUAACUGGAGGACCGAACCGACUAAUGUUGAAAAAUUAGCGGAUGACUUGUGGCUGGGGGUGAAAGGCCAAUCAAACCGGGAGAUAGCUGGUUCUCCCCGAAAGCUAUUUAGGUAGCGCCUCGUGAAUUCAUCUCCGGGGGUAGAGCACUGUUUCGGCAAGGGGGUCAUCCCGACUUACCAACCCGAUGCAAACUGCGAAUACCGGAGAAUGUUAUCACGGGAGACACACGGCGGGUGCUAACGUCCGU
rnacentral:rRNA from 1 species